GACGAACGCUGGCGGCGUGCUUAACACAUGCAAGUCGAACGAUGAAGCCUUCGGGUGGAUUAGUGGCGAACGGGUGAGUAACACGUGGGUGAUCUGCCCUGCACUUUGGGAUAAGCCUGGGAAACUGGGUCUAAUACCGAAUAUGAUCAUGCUCUUCAUGGGGUGUGGUGGAAAGCUUUUGCGGUGUGGGAUGGGCCCGCGGCCUAUCAGCUUGUUGGUGGGGUAAUGGCCUACCAAGGCGACGACGGGUAGCCGGCCUGAGAGGGUGACCGGCCACACUGGGACUGAGAUACGGCCCAGACUCCUACGGGAGGCAGCAGUGGGGAAUAUUGCACAAUGGGCGCAAGCCUGAUGCAGCGACGCCGCGUGAGGGAUGACGGCCUUCGGGUUGUAAACCUCUUUCAGCAGGGACGAAGCGAAAGUGACGGUACCUGCAGAAGAAGGACCGGCCAACUACGUGCCAGCCGCCGCUGUAAUAC
rnacentral:rRNA from 1 species